UACGAAGGGGGCUAGCGUUGUUCGGAUUUACUGGGCGUAAAGCGCACGUAGGCGGAUCGUUAAGUCGGGGGUGAAAUCCUGGAGCUCAACUCCAGAACUGCCUUCGAUACUGGCGAUCUUGAGUCCGGAAGAGGUGAGUGGAAUUCCUAGUGUAGAGGUGGAAUUCGUAGAUAUUAGGAAGAACACCAGUGGCGAAGGCGGCUCACUGGUCCGGUACUGACGCUGAGGUGCGAAAGCGUGGGAGCAAACAGG
rnacentral:rRNA from 1 species